UAGAUAGAUGUUCGUUGGAUUGAAUGUUUAGCUGUUAUCUAAAAGUUUGUAGGAUCAAAGCCUGCCUAUCUAG
rnacentral:tRNA from 1 species